AUUGAACGCUGGCGGCGUGCCUAACACAUGCAAGUCGCACGCGAAAGGGGGCAACCCCAAGUAGAGUGGCGGACGGGUGAGUAACGCGUAGGAAUCUACCUAGUAGUGGGGGAUAACCCGGCGAAAGCCGGGCUAAUACCGCAUACGACCUAAGGGUGAAAGCAGGGGAUCGCAAGACCUUGCGCUAUUAGAUGAGCCUGCGUCCGAUUAGCUAGUUGGUGAGGUAACGGCUCACCAAGGCGACGAUCGGUAACUGGUUUGAGAGAACGACCAGUCACAUUGGGACUGAGAAAGGGCACAAACUCCUACGGGAGGCAGCAGUGGGGAAUAUUGGACAAUGGGGGCAACCCUGAUCCAGCGACGCCGCGUGUGUGAAGAAGGCCUUCGGGUUGUAAAGCACUUUCGGCAGGGACAAACAAGACGGAGCUAACAUCUCCGUUCCUGAUGGUACCUGAAGAAGAAGCACCGGCUAACUCUGUGCCAGCAGCCGCCGUAA
rnacentral:rRNA from 1 species